UUUCGCAAUGCCCGAAAGGGUGACGAAGCGACGCCGCGUGCGGGAAGAAGGCCUUCGGGUUGUAAACCGCUGUCGGGAGUUAAGAAAUGCAAGGGUGUUAAUAGUAUCCUUGCUUGACUAAGGCUCCGGAGGAAGCCACGGCUAACUCUGUGCCAGCAGCCGCGGUAAUACAGAGGCGGCAAGCAUUGUUCGGAAUUAUUGGGCGUAAAGAGCACGUAGGCGGCUGUGUAAGUCGGUUGUGAAAGCCUUCCGCUCAACGGGAGAACGGCAUCCGAUACUGCAUAGCUUGAGUGCGGGAGGGGAGAGUGGAACUUCUGGUGGAGCGGUGAAAUGCGUAGAUAUCAGAAGGAACACCGGCGGCGAAGGCGACUCUCUGGCCCGUAACUGACGCUGAGUGUGCGAAAGCUAGGGGAGCAAACGGGAUUAGAUACCCCGGUAGUCCUAGCCGUAAACGAUGGGCACUAAGUAGAGGGGUUUUA
rnacentral:rRNA from 1 species